GACGAACGCUGGCGGCGUGCCUAAUACAUGCAAGUCGAACGCUUUUUCUUUCACCGGAGCUUGCUCCACCGAAAGAAAAAGAGUGGCGAACGGGUGAGUAACACGUGGGUAACCUGCCCAUCAGAAGGGGAUAACACUUGGAAACAGGUGCUACUACCGUAUAACACUAUUUUCCGCAUGGAAGAAAUUUGAAGGGCGCUUUUGCGUCACUGAUGGAUGGACCCGCGGUGCAUUAGCUAGUUGGUGAGGUAACGGCUCACCAAGGCAACGAUGCAUAGCCGACCUGAGAGGGUGAUCGGCCACACUGGGACUGAGACACGGCCCAGACUCCUACGGGAGGCAGCAGUAGGGAAUCUUCGGCAAUGGACGAAAGUCUGACCGAGCAACGCCGCGUGAGUGAGGAAGGUUUUCGGAUCGUAAAACUCUGUUGUUAGAGAAGAACAAGGAUGAGAGUAGAACGUUCAUCCCUUGACGGUAUCUAACCAGAAAGCCACGGCUAACUACGUGCCAGCCGCCGCAGUAA
rnacentral:rRNA from 1 species